UACAUGUGAAUGCUCGGAAAGAUUUGCUCGAAAAAAAGAUGCCUCGAGCACCGGCCCUCUUGUCAAUUAUCACGCCUAGAUCGGAUCCUUUGUUCCAAUAAGCUUGAAUAUGCAUGAUAACAACGGCAUGAUGGAGAUAUUGUUGGCGUUAAGUUAUUCGCCGAGCCGUUUGGACAAUUCUCGCCUUAUUGUUUGGACAAUUCUUAUCUUAUCACGACAAGGUCAACAGGUGCACGCUUGUGAGCUGUCGUAAAGAUAGCAGAUAAUCAUGCGCGAUUGGUCGCUCACGAUUUUUCAACCUGUGCAUAAGAGUUCCGAAGGUGUCCCGUUCGACUAUUCUUCACUCGUCUGCUCUCCUGCAACGCCACGGACAGCUCUCAAUAUGUGGACGAAGAUUUUUGCUCUUCUCGCUCUACUUGGAUAUUUUUCAGUUGCAGUUGGAUACGAACUACGGCUCUAUCCCCAAGACUGCUCGAAAUACGAAGAAUGCGAUCCAACUCUCCACGGCUGCUAUCUGAGAGACUGCGCACCCGGUACCGAAUUCGAUCCAGAAAUUGGAGUUUGCUCUUGGCCGUUGCCCCAACGAUCCGACUGUCAGAGAUUGUAUUAGAGUACUAUCGAUGUUGAACAUUAACAACAAAUAAACAGGCGCAUCUAUUCGCGUUUUGCUCAUCCAA